rnacentral:rRNA from 1 species
GAUGAACGCUGGCGGCGUGCUUAACACAUGCAAGUCGAACGGAAAGGCCCCUUUGGGGGUACUCGAGUGGCGAACGGGUGAGUAACACGUGAGUAACCUGCCCUUGACUUCGGGAUAACUUCAGGAAACUGGGGCUAAUACCGGAUAGGAAUCCUUGCUGCAUGGUGGGGGUUGGAAAGCUUCGGCGGUUUUGGAUGGACUCGCGGCUUAUCAGCUUGUUGGUGGGGUAGUGGCUUACCAAGGCUUUGACGGGUAGCCGGCCUGAGAGGGCGACCGGCCACAGUGGGACUGAGAUACGGCCCAGACUCCUACGGGAGGCAGCAGUGGGGAAUAUUGCACAAUGGGCGGAAGCCUGAUGCAGCAACGCCGCGUGCGGGAUGACGGCCUUCGGGUUGUAAACCGCUUUCAGCAGGGGCGAAGCUUGUGGUGACGGUACCUGCAGAAGAAGCACCGGCUAACUACGUG